GCCCGCCCGGGCUCCCCGCGCCCGCCAUGGCGCUGCUGGCCGGCUGCUGCCUCCUCCUGCUGCUGCUGCUGCCCCUGCUCGCCGCCGUGGAGGAAACGCUAAUGGACUCCACCACGGCGACGGCAGAGCUGGGCUGGACAGUGCAUCCUCCCUCAGGGUGGGAAGAGGUGAGCGGAUACGACGAGAACAUGAACACGAUCCGGACGUACCAGGUGUGCAAUGUCUUUGAGUCCAAUCAGAACAACUGGCUGCGGACCAAGUACAUACGGAGGAGAGGAGCUCACCGCAUUCACGUGGAGAUGAAAUUUUCCGUCCGGGACUGCAGCAGCAUCCCCAACGUUCCCGGCUCCUGCAAGGAGACCUUCAAUCUCUACUACUUCGAAUCUGACUUUGACUCGGCCACCAAGACCUUUCCCAACUGGAUGGAGAACCCCUGGGCAAAGGUGGACACCAUCGCGGCUGAUGAGAGCUUCUCCCAGGUGGACCUGGGUGGCCGCGUGAUGAAGAUCAACACCGAGGUGCGCAGCUUCGGGCCGGUCUCCAAGAACGGAUUCUAUCUGGCGUUCCAGGACUAUGGGGGCUGCAUGUCCUUAAUCGCUGUCCGGGUCUUCUACCGCAAGUGCCCCCGAGUGAUCCAGAACGGGGCCGUGUUUCAGGAGACGCUCUCGGGAGCAGAGAGCACUUCGCUGGUGGCGGCCAGGGGGUCCUGCAUUACCAAUGCAGAGGAGGUGGAUGUCCCCAUCAAGCUGUACUGCAAUGGGGACGGGGAGUGGCUGGUGCCCAUUGGACGGUGCAUGUGCAAGGCUGGCUACGAAUCGGUGGAGAACGGGACUGUCUGCAGAGGCUGCCCAUCGGGGACGUUCAAGGCCAGCCAAGGGGACGAAGGGUGCGUUCAUUGCCCAAUUAACAGCAGGACAACUUCGGAAGGGGCCACCAACUGUGUGUGCCGAAAUGGAUAUUACCGGGCAGACUCCGACCCCCUGGAUAUGCCAUGCACCACCAUCCCGUCUGCCCCCCAGGCUGUGAUCUCCAGUGUGAACGAGACGUCGCUGAUGCUGGAGUGGACCCCGCCCCGGGACGCUGGGGGCCGCGAGGACCUGGUGUACAAUAUCAUCUGCAAGAGCUGCGGCUCGGGGCGCGGUGCCUGCACCCGCUGUGGGGACAACGUGCAGUUCUCCCCACGCCAGCUGGGCCUGACAGAGCCCCGCAUCUACAUCAGCGACCUGCUGGCUCACACCCAGUACACCUUUGAGAUCCAGGCCGUGAACGGGGUCACCGACCAGAGCCCCUUCUCCCCGCACUUUGCCUCCGUCAAUAUCACCACCAACCAGGCCGCCCCUUCUGCUGUAUCCAUCAUGCACCAGGUCAGCCGGACGGUGGACAGCAUUACCUUAUCGUGGUCUCAGCCUGACCAGCCCAACGGAGUCAUCCUGGAUUAUGAGCUGCAAUACUUUGAGAAGGAUCUGAGUGAAUUCAAUGCCACAGCAGUGAAGAGCCCCACCAACACCAUGACUGUGCAGAACCUCAAAGCCGGCACCAUCUACGUCUUCCAGGUGCGGGCACGCACCGUGGCCGGCUACGGCCGCUACAGUGGCAAGAUGUACUUCCAGACCAUGACCGAAGCUGAGUACCAGACCAGUGUCCAGGAGAAGCUGCCACUCAUCAUCGGCUCCUCUGCAGCGGGUCUGGUGUUCCUCAUUGCCGUGGUCGUCAUCAUCAUUGUGUGCAACAGAAGACGGGGCUUCGAGCGAGCCGACUCCGAGUACACUGACAAGCUGCAGCACUAUACCAGUGGCCACAGUACGUACCGCGCACCCGUGCCUGGCCUGGGGGUCCAUUCCUUCUUCGUGACUCCUGGAAUGAAGAUUUACAUUGACCCCUUCACCUAUGAAGACCCCAAUGAGGCCGUCAGGGAAUUUGCAAAGGAAAUUGACAUCUCUUGUGUCAAAAUUGAGCAGGUGAUCGGAGCAGGGGAGUUUGGGGAAGUGUGCAGUGGGCACCUCAAGCUGCCUGGCAAGAGAGAGAUCUUUGUGGCCAUCAAAACGCUGAAGUCGGGUUACACGGAGAAGCAGAGACGGGACUUCCUGAGCGAGGCCAGCAUCAUGGGGCAGUUCGACCACCCCAACGUUAUCCACCUGGAGGGCGUGGUCACCAAGAGCGCCCCUGUCAUGAUCAUCACUGAGUUCAUGGAGAAUGGCUCCCUGGACUCCUUCCUCCGGCAAAACGAUGGGCAGUUCACGGUGAUCCAGCUGGUGGGCAUGCUGCGGGGCAUCGCCGCGGGCAUGAAGUACCUGGCCGACAUGAACUACGUGCACCGGGACCUGGCUGCCCGCAACAUCCUCGUCAACAGCAACCUGGUCUGCAAGGUGUCCGACUUCGGCCUGUCCCGCUUCCUGGAGGAUGACACCUCGGAUCCCACCUACACCAGCGCGCUGGGUGGGAAGAUCCCGAUCCGGUGGACGGCGCCCGAAGCAAUUCAGUAUAGGAAAUUCACCUCAGCCAGCGACGUGUGGAGCUAUGGCAUAGUCAUGUGGGAGGUGAUGUCCUAUGGGGAGCGGCCCUACUGGGAUAUGACCAAUCAAGAUGUGAUAAAUGCGAUAGAGCAGGAUUAUCGGCUGCCCCCUCCCAUGGACUGCCCAAACGCCUUGCACCAGCUAAUGCUCGACUGUUGGCAGAAGGACCGGAACCACAGGCCCAAAUUCGGGCAAAUUGUCAACACGUUAGACAAAAUGAUCCGAAACCCCAAUAGCCUGAAAGCCAUGGCACCCCUCUCCUCCGGGAUUAACCUCCCUUUACUGGACCGCACAAUCCCCGAUUACACCAGUUUCAACACAGUGGAUGAAUGGCUGGAUGCCAUCAAGAUGGGCCAGUACAAGGAGAGCUUUGCCAGUGCCGGCUUUGCCACCUUUGACGUGGUGUCCCAGAUGACCAUGGAGGACAUUCUGCGAGUUGGGGUCACUUUAGCAGGCCAUCAGAAGAAAAUUCUGAACAGUAUCCAAGUGAUGCGAGCACAGAUGAAUCAGAUCCAAUCUGUGGAGGUUUGAUGUUCACACGUCUUCACACUCCUCUUCCUCAAGGCCCUUCUCCCCUUUGCCCCUGUAUGUCCAAGCUCCAGUUCUUGAGUGUUCUGCAUUCACCAGAGACCGGCAGCUGCUCUAAGGAUCGUGGCAACAGGAAGAAACAUCCUGACAACAAAAAGUUGCCAAGAGCUUCUGGAAUUUAAGCAAUGGAAAAAAGGGAACAAGGAAGACAAAUAUUUUGGGAAAACUAUGAAAUAUUUUUUAAAAAUAAUAAUAAUAAAGCAAUGGCAUUUUCGAAAAGGGCUCUGAGAUCCACAGGAGUCUCCAAAGGGAGACAAAAGAGCAGAUCCUUUCGUUUCCUUCUUGCACAAGGCUGCUUCUGCAGGCUCAGACGCCUCUGGAGCAAAGAGACUUUGUCAAGGAGAUGAAAGCCAAGUGAAGACAUGGGAAGCGCUCCUCCUUUUCUCCCUUGGGAUGGUGACUCUGGGGACAUCCUGCAGCCAGCAGUCAUCCCUGAAAGCCCCCAGCUGGCAAAUCACAGGGGGAGAGAGAGUUGGGAAGUUCUUGCCAUGUAAUGGACCAAGCGCAUCUGUAAAGUGGCAAACUUUUGCAAAGCUGAAGAUUUUUGUAAAAUAAACGAACUGAGACAAGAAGAGUCUUUUUUUUCUGCAGAUGAGAAGGAACCUUGAACCCAUUGGGAGUGGGGGAUGGGGAAACCAAUCCUUUUUAGAGCUCUUAUUUUCUCUUGACAUGGAACGGUUUAGUGAGUGACGCGUUUUCCAGGGGUCUGCCCAUCCAGCCCUCCAAUGGCAUCAUUGUCUCAUACAUAUCAUAUGCACAAGACUUUUAGUGAUCGCCUCACUAGUUGCCAAUGACCUUUUCUCAGAAGACUUCCCAAGUACAAACCUCAUGGCUCGAAGCCCUCAUUGGGAGGGAGAGGGACCCUUCGACUGCCCAAGACGAGUAACUAAUCAGUGUUCCAUCUGCUCAUUAGCCACCCAACAUUUGCCUCAUGGAUUGACCUGGUUAUCUGGUGGGCCCAAGGGGGGUCCCAAUCCUGGUUUACCUGCUCUGUCUUGCCCUGUACAUUGGCUGUGGCCCUGUGGACAAUGUAAUGCUUUUCAUGACAGUGUUUGUAUUUUUUUAAACGUGAAUGGGGAGAUAGCGUGCAGGUCCUUGUAACACAGGGGUGUGUGUCUUCCAUUCCGACCAGGGCUUCCCCUGGCCUCGUCAAACAUCUUUGGAUGUUACUCAGAAAAAAUAAAAUAAAAUAAAUCGGAUGUAUUUAUAAACAAAACAGAAACCUGCUGCUCCAAUGCCUUUGUAGGAGUAUUUUUAACAAAACAUUUUUUCAAAAUAAAUGUGAAUUGUAACGUU